CCUACUGGAGGCAGCAGUGAGGAAUAUUGGUCAAUGGCCGAAAGGCUGAACCAGCCAAGCCGCGUGAAGGACGAAGGUGCCAAGCAUUGUAAACUUCUUUUGUCAGGGGACAAAAUCAGGCUCGAGAGGCUGAACGAGCGUACUUGAAGAAAAAGCAUCGGCUAACUCCGUGCCAGCAGCCGCGGUAAUACGGGGGAUGCGAGCGUUAUCCGGAUUUAUUGGGUUUAAAGGGUGCGUAGGGGGACUGUUAAGUCAGCGGUAAAAGCCCGGGGCUCAACUCCGGCGAGCCGUUGAAACUGGCUAUCUUGAGUGGGCGAGAGGUAUGCGGAAUGCGUAGUGUAGCGGUGAAAUGCUUAGAUAUUGCGCAGAACUCCGAUUGCGAAGGCAGCAUACCGGCGGCGAUCUGACGCUGAGGCACGAAAGCGUGGGUAUCGAACAGGAUUAGAUACCCUUGUAGUC
rnacentral:rRNA from 1 species